CACGCCGUAAACGAUGUCGACUUGGAGGUUGUGCCCUUGAGGCGUGGCUUCCGGAGCUAACGCGUUAAGUCGACCGCCUGGGGAGUACGGCCGCAAGGUUAAAACUCAAAUGAAUUGACGGGGGCCCGCACAAGCGGUGGAGCAUGUGGUUUAAUUCGAUGCAACGCGAAGAACCUUACCUACUCUUGACAUCCACGGAACUUGCCAGAGAUGGCUUGGUGCCUUCGGGAACCGUGAGACAGGUGC
rnacentral:rRNA from 1 species